UUUUUUUUGGUCGGCGUGCCGCCGUGGAGUUCUCACCCUCCGAUGCAAAAGAAUUACGUAUACACAGCAUUCAUCAGGCUCACAUGAUAUUGUGUGCUGUGCGAUUGUGAGGAUGCACUAGUGGAUUGGUGGUUUUAAAAUUGUGAUAUUGGCAAUGGGCUGCGGACAUUUUUCUGUGGAUGGACAAGAAAGCUAAUGCCAGUGUGCUUGGGUUUGCCACUUCACUUUGGGUGCUUUUUUAGUUGCUUCAGAACCAUUUGCUUACACUUGUUUGCCAUAUACUGAUCCUUGCAUUGUUAGUCCUUUCCCUUUGGUCUAAUGCAUCCACCUUCAUCAACAGGUAAGUAUACUCUUUAACUUCCUUAUUAAUUUGUCUACCUUAGGAUUCACCUUGAAAUAUAUGCACCAGAUCUCCGCCCGAAAUUCCAGAUGUCAUUCUGCCUGAAUACAUUGUCCUGGGUGUUGCUGCUGCACUCAGGACUGAAAUAAACAAAGCUCUUGAAAAUAAUUUCUAUUGCUGCUAUACUCAGUCCUGUUGCUGCUGCACUCAGGACUGUAUGUUAUCAUGUCUUUCUUGUUGAUAUUAUCUUCCGAAAUAAUUUCUGCUACGCCAUACAUAUCUGUAAAGCUUUCAUCGCUAAAUUUAUUUAUUUAUUUACUUCCAUCCAAUUAAUGUAGUCUAAUUUUUUGUCGGGUGGUUCUACCAUUCUAGAGUUUAGGAGUCCCGAUGCUCAGAAUGAGAUAAAAUAAUGAAUGCACAUUGAUUACUAACAUAGGUUAACAUAGGGCAAACUGAGCUCCAAAUAUGUUCUAAUUCAACUCAUCUCAGUUUUCUAAUGCUAGCUUUUUGAAUGGUCCAUCUUUUUUAGUUGUUAGCUGAGUCAUUUAUCUUUUCUUUGUAAUUUCCCUAUUGAUAAGUAAAGAAACAUAUAUGAUACUUUUUAGUUAAUAACAAUAAUUUUGGUUCUCGAGGGGAUGACCUAGUUGAUAAGGCAUAGGAGUAACAACUUGGAGAUUUUAGGUUUGAAUCUCAGUUGCAACACAUGGUGCACCCAUCUAGUCUAGUCUUGGUGUGAAGCACUACAUUGUCAAUAUGUGCCAUGGACUCCAAUAUAUGGUCUGUUUCCAUUCUUGUAGUAUGAUGUUGAAUAUUUCUCCCGGGUUACCUCGUGGCCUAUUUGGUGUCAGGAAGUUAGACUUUUGCAUAUGAGUUGAAUAAUUCCCCUAGUGGGAUGGACAGAUUGACCAGCUAAUUAGUUGGGGUGCAUGCAAGCUCUGGGGACACCAUUAGUAUCAAUAAGAUGAUGAAUUGGGCACUGUAGAAUAUAUGGCCCAACUAUGGGAAAGAGUUCUAGUCAUACGUUGUUGUGAGUUGUGACAUAAUGAUAAAUAUUGCUUAGUGAGACGAAGUUAACUUGAUCCCCAUUAUGUAUAAAUUCCUUGAGGACUUGAAGUUAAUGUCACUCUAUAUCAAUGUGUUAUAGACCACCUUACGUUUUUAAGUACAGUAAAUAAGAAAAUGUAGGUAAGUAGGUUAUGAACAUUGUUUAUUUUUUAAAUAUUUCAGACCUACGACUCAAUGAAAUGUAGAGUGCAAAACAAUUUUUAUCUCCAUGUGGUACUUUCUCUAAAUGUUGUUUUGCUAAGAAAUUGCUUCAUGGCUCUUUCUUGUAUCAUUGAAACUCGAAUAUGCCUUUCGUUAUACGUCAAAAAGUAGAAGUUUCCCUUCAAUUAUUCUACAGUUACAUAUAUAUUGAAGAUUUUUUUUAAUUUGAAGAAUUUGCACUACUCAACAAGAUUACAAGUUCUAUUCUCAACAAUGAUUAGUCUUUGUCUUCUUCUUUGCAUUUUGGGGAAGUUUUGACAUCUUAGAUGCUUUGGAGCUCACAUUUGGGAUAUUCAAUAAUUGUAUUCGGGUUCAUCUUCCUUCUAGAUUUAGAUGUAAGGUAUAGGAGUUUUAGAGGCUAUUACCUAAUGCUCUUGAAUAUGAACUAGUUUCGCGUGAGGUUAUUUGGGCAAAGUCUAUUCAACAAUCGUUGUCCGGAUAAAUAAGACAUGAUUGUAUUUCCUUGCAAGUGAGAGGGAAAGGUCAGUUCUGCCUUAUAUAUCUAUCAGUAAAUAGACAAGGGUUUCAAAGUCUUGCCUAGAAAUUUUUUAAUAGAAAUUGAUUUACUUUUACUAUUUUAUGUAGGUUUGAAAUAUAUAUUUUUCUAGUGAAGUUUAUGUGUAUCAAAGAUUUCGUGAUGAGAAUGUUUAUAAAUGACGUUGAGCUGCUUAUACUUUCCAUCUUAUUCUUGUAUCAAGGUUGUGAAUGCAAGUAUAAGUAGUUUAACAUCAUUUAUAAGUGUUUUCAUCACCAAAUCUUUGUUACGCAUGAACUUUACUAGUGCAGUAUAUAUCUCAAAGCCUACAUAUAAUGGAAAAUGCAAAUCAAUUUCUAGUAAAAACAUUUUGGGCAAGGGUGCACUUCAACUUUGCAACCCUUACCUCUUUACGGAUGAAUAUUUAAGGUAGAAGCGAACUUUCUCUCCCUGUUCCAAUGAAAUACAAUCCUAUGUCUUCUUUAUCCGAACAAUGGUUGUUAAAUAGACUAGCCCAAAUAUUCCCACGCGAAACUAGUUCAAAUUUAAGAAUAUGAAGCAAUAAUCCUAAGAACUCAUACACCUUACGUUUAACUCUGGAAGGAGGAUGGGCGUGGAUACAAUCAUUGAACAUCCUCAGUGAGAAUUCCAGUGCAAAUGAGAUGUCAAAACUUCCUUGAAAUACAAAGAGAUAGACUAUUAAUUACAGAGAAGUUGUAUUCUUGUUGAAUAUUGCCUAUCCCUCCCUCAAAUUUAAGUAAGAUCAUCAAUAUUUUUAUGUAGUUUGUAGAAUUAUCAAAGGUGUUACACUCCUAUACCUUAACCACUAGAGGAAACCAUUUCCUCUGGAAACAACAUUUUGUUGUGAACCAAAAAAGUAUUAUAAAUUUAUUCGUACUCAUCAAUAAAGAGAUUACAAAGAUGGGGAGGUUAAUCAGUCAACUGACUACUAGCAAAGGUGAGUUGAAUUUUAAUUAGUAAUAAAUGUACAUGAUGAAGUGUAUAACGUACUUCCAGGAAUGAGCUGGAGUAGGAUCAAAAGUGGGUUCAUCAUUCCACUCGCUCUCACCGCAUUGGGACUCCUAUGCUCUAGAAUGGUAGAAUUACAAGGACCUAACAAGCAUGUUGCAUCAAUUGGAUGGAAGUACAGGAGUAAAUAAAUUUGCUAGAAAAGAUUUUGAACUGUUUAUACUUGUAUCCAGUUUCUGUUAAGGAUUGUGGAUAGAAGUAUAAACAGCUCAACAUCAUUUAUAAACAUUCUCAUUUUCAAAUCUUUGCUACGCAUGAACUUCACUAGAGCAAUAUAUAUCUCAGAUUUACAUAUAGUGGAAAAUGCAAAUCAAUUUCUAGUAAAAACAUUUCCGGGCAAGGGCACACUUCUACUUUGCAACCCUUCCCCCUUUUUGAAUUGUUAUUUAAAGUAGAAACUAACAUUUCUCUCCCACUUGCAAAGAAAUAGUCUUAUAUGUUCUUACCCGAACAAUGGUUGUUGAAUAGACUAACCCAGAUAUCCCCACGUGGAACUAGUUCAAAUUUAAGAGUAUGAGGCAAUAUCCCUAAGAACUCAUACACCUUACGUCUAACUAUAAAGAGAAUGUGCGUGGAUAAAAUUAUUAAGCAUCCUAAGUGCAAACAUUAGAACAUCUGAUAUGUCAAAACUUCCUCUUAAAUACAAAGGGAAAACUAUUAUCUAUAGAAAAGAGAAUGUUGCCUGUUACUCAAAUUAAAGUAAGAUCAUCAAUAUAUAUGUAGUUUGUAGAAUAAUCAAAGGUCUUACUCCAAUACCAUUACCACUAGGCCAUAUCCUCGGGGAACAACAUUAUGUUGUUAAACAAAAAAGUAUUAUAAAUUUAUUUGUACUUAUCAAUAGGGAGAUUACAAAGAAGAGCAAGUUAAUCAUUUAGCUGACCACUAGCAAAGAUGAGCUGAAUAUUAAUCAGUAAUAAAUGUACAUGAUGAAGUGUAUAGCUUACUUGUAGGAAUGAGCAAGCGUUGGAUCACAAGGGUGUCAUAAGUGGGUUCAUCAUUCCACUCGGGUUUAUCCUUUCACUCUAUAUCAUUGUAUUAUGGACUAUUUUCUGUUUUCAGGUACGGGAAACAAGAAAUUAUGGGUAAGUCGGUUAUAUGGGAGCCGUACAUUAUUUAUUUUCUAAAAAUUUCAGUUAAGUAACUUAAUGAGAUGUAGAGUAGUUGAAGAUUUAUGUUUUACUUGAAUUUGCACCACUCAUCAGCCUUACAAGUUCUUUCCUAUGCAAUUAUUAGUCUUUCUCUUUUUUGCAUUUUAGGGGAAGUUUUGAGAUCCUAGAUGUUUUCGAACUUGCACAUCAGAUUUUCAAUAAUUGUAUCUAGGUUCAUCCUUUUAUAGAGUUAGAUGUAAGAUAUAGGAAUUUUUAGGAAUUUUGCCUAAUACUAUUGAGUAUGAACUAGUUUCGCAUAAGGUUAUUUGGGAAAAAUUUAUUCAACAAUCAUUGUCUGGAUAAAGAAGACAUAAAACUAUAUAAUCUUGCAAGUGAGAGAGAAAGAUUAGCUUCUACCUUAUAUAUCUAUUCGAAAAUGGAUAGAGUUGCAAAGUAUAACUGCACCCUUGCCCAGGAAUAUUUUUAGUAGAAAUUGAUUUGCAUUUCUCAUUUUAUGUAGGUAGGUCUGAGAUAUAUAUUGCUCUAGUGAAGUUUAUGUGUAUCAAAUAUUUGGUGAUGAAAAUGCUUAUAAAUGAUGUUGAACUGCUUAUACUUCCAUCCAGUUCCUGUAUUAGGGUUGUGGAUGCAAGUAUAAACAACUCAACAUCAUUUAUAAGCAUUCUCAUCACCAAAUCUUUGCUACACAUGAAUUUCACAAAAACAAUAUAUAUCUCAGUCCUACAUAUAAUGGAAAAUGCAAAUCAAUUUCUAGUAAAAACAUUUCUGGGCAAAGACACACUUCUACUUUGCAAACCUUACCCCUUUACAGAUGGAUAAUUUAAGUGGAAGCUAACAUAUAUCUCCCACUUGCAAAGAAAUAUUGUCCUAUAUCUUCUUUAACCGAACAAUGAUUGUUGAAUACAUCUUACCUCUAACUCAAGAAGGAGGAUGGUCGUAAAUACAAUUAUUGAGCAUCCUAAGUGCAAAUUCCAGAGCACCUGAGAUGUCAAAACUUCCGUGAAAAUACAAAGAGAAAGACUUGUUAAUUAUAGAGAAAUGAACUUGUAUUCUUGUUUAAUGAUGAAAGUCCCUCAAAUUAAAGUAAGAUUAUCAAUAUAUAUGUAGUUUGUAGAAUAAUCAAAGGUGUUACUCCUAUACCUUAACCACUAGCCAUCUCCUUGGGGACCAACAUUAUGUUGUUAACCAAAAGUAUUAUAAAUUUAUUCCUACUUAUCAAUUGGAAGAUUACAAAGAAGAGGAGCAUUUCUCAAUCAAGUUUGUUGAGAAAACUGGGUUUAGCAUGGCUAAGUUAAAUAUCCUUAAUGCUGAAUACAAUAUUUACCAGUUCUCAAAAAAAAAUGAGAUGGAGCAUUUCUCAAUCAAGUAAAUUUACGUGAAGCUCCAUCAGAAGAUUUGUGUGUAACAACUUGGGAUCACCUAGAUGUAUCUUUAUCUCGAGACGAGACUAGGGACAGAAUGCCGAAAUGGGGAAUGGUUGUGGAUCCUAGCUGUCCUUUCAGAACUCUCCAUCUUUUUUUUUUUUGCUUGUACAGGCUCUGCUCAUAUCCAAGAAGUUCAUGCUACACGUAGUAGACAUGCUAAUUGGUUAGACACUCGCAAUUUCUGUGUAUGUGUUGUACUCUAUGAGGUAGUUACCUCUGAUGCAAAGGGCUCACUGUCCAUACCUCAGUUUUUUUAUUCUUUUCCGGUACUCCAAUGUUCAUUGGGGUUAGUAAAAUUGUUUAUUUACAGGGAAAAAAAGGUUCACAAAGGAUUCAAAAAUGCUUAAGAUACAUCCAAAUCUUUUGUGUAACACUAUAGCAUACUAAUUUGAAUUCUCUCGUA